rnacentral:rRNA from 1 species
GACGAACGCUGGCGGCGUGCUUAACACAUGCAAGUCGAACGGAAAGGCCCUGCUUUUGUGGGGUGCUCGAGUGGCGAACGGGUGAGUAACACGUGAGUAACCUGCCCUUGACUUUGGGAUAACUUCAGGAAACUGGGGCUAAUACCGGAUAGGAGCUCCUGCUGCAUGGUGGGGGUUGGAAAGUUUCGGCGGUUGGGGAUGGACUCGCGGCUUAUCAGCUUGUUGGUGGGGUAGUGGCUUACCAAGGCUUUGACGGGUAGCCGGCCUGAGAGGGGGACCGGCCACAUUGGGCCUGAGAUACGGCCCAGACUCCUACGUGAGGCAACAGUGGGGAGUAUUGCACAAUGGGGGGAAGUCUGAUGCGACAACGCCGCGUGCGGGAUGCCGUCCUUCGGGUUGUAAACCACUUUCGCCUGUGACGAAGCGUGAUUGACGGUACUGGGUAAGGAAGCCCCGGCUAACUACGUG